rnacentral:rRNA from 1 species
GGUGAACGCUGGCGGCGUGCUUAAGACAUGCAAGUCGAACGGCAGUCUUCGGACUGUAGUGGCGCACGGGUGAGUAACGCGUAACUGACCUACCCCAAAGUCGCGGAUAACGAUUCGAAAGAAUCGCUAAUACGUGAUGUGCUGUCAGAUUGUGUUCUGCCAGUAAAGAUUGAUUGCUUCGGGAUGGGGUUGCGUUCCAUCCGCUAGUUGGUGGGGUAAAGGCCCACCAAGGCGACGACGGAUAGCCGGCCUGAGAGGGUGGCCGGCCACAGGGGCACUGAGACACGGGUCCCACUCCUACGGGAGGCAGCAGUUAGGAAUCUUCCACAAUGGGCGAAAGCCUGAUGGAGCGACGCCGCGUGAGGGAUGAAGGUCUUCGGAUCGUAAACCUCUGAAUCAGGGACGAAAGACACUUCGGUGGGAUGACGGUACCUGAGUAAUAGCACCGGCUAACUCCGUGCCAGCCGCCGCAGUAACAC